AAAUCUGUAGAUUGCUUUUGGUAGAAUUGCCAUUUUUACUAUGUUAAUUCUGCCUAUCCAAGAGCACGGGAGAUCUUUCCACUUUCUGGUAUCUUCUUUAAUUUCUUUCUUUAAAGUUUGUUAGGUUGGACCACUGAAUUCUGUCCCACCCUCCCCAUGGCUAUCCAGUGUUUUGCUGUUGAUCAUUUCUGUUUGGGCUGAGGUUUUGUUCAUUUGCUUCUUAGCCAAGUGGUACUGAACUGGCAAUCCUCCUUCUUGGGCCUCUCUAGUAUGUCAUCAUGCCUGGUUUGGUCAUGGUGACCUGUGAUAUUUGUUUAUUGACAAUCAUGAGUUCAUUGGAUUCUUUGUUCUCACUAGAUUAAGAUUUUUUUUCUCUUUGGAACUAGUAAUUUGAGUUUGAUAUGCCAAGUUAUGAAUCUAUCUAACCCUGUCUACAUUUACCAGCAUUAGAGAUCACUGGGCUUCUUUGAUACUAAAACUACACUUAGUGUUUGCUGCUGGACAUUAUACAUUUUAAAUAAAUUAAUGUAGGGGCUCUGGAAAUUGGAAACCCCUUACCGAUAUUACUGUGGUUGUGUUUUACUGAGGUGGUGACUACUGUUUGAUUGAUAGAGACUUAGUUAACCUAUUCUAUAAUGCUUCUCUUCUUGCUAGUGAUACUCACUAAAGCUAUUUUCUGAUCAUCACAGGCAUCAGUUAAUGUUUGGACACAGCUCUGCUUAGAUGCCUUGAACCAGUUAUCUUUUCCUCUAUCUUUUUCAUUCGCCCAGUUAUCUAUAUCAAAUUCUGGAUAGUUCCUUAAACUUAGCUCUCUUAUCAUGUGUAAGCUUUAGAGCCUUGUCUAAUCUGUUAAGAUCACAACUAUCCUUUAAAUUUCAAUUUUGCAUUUCAGCAAUAGAAUUUUGUUGUAUAUACUGUCUAAAUUUACUUUCUGUCUUAUCUCAGAUAUUAUUUUGCUGCUAUAUUUCUCGAUGUAUUUUAUCUUCCUGUGUUUUGUGUCUCUUACAUUAAGUAACUUUCUCUAGCAAACAUUUCAUUUACAGUAUUCUAAUUCUUUGGAUUCUGUGGCAUAUUGAACUAGAGCUUUUUAAUUAUCUAGAGCCACAAGAUGUUAAUAUCCAGUGUUAUAUAUCUAGAUGCCUCUUCAAAGUAGAUAAUGCAAAUCUCGACAGAUUUUUUAGGUAGGGAUGAUCUAAGCAGAAGAAUUUAAAAUAGAAAGGUUAUGAAAACAAUCUGAGUACUUGACCAUAGAGAAAUAUGCAUUCAUUUGUUGGAAUUGAAUGCAGCCAUUGUUAAUAAAAUUUUCAAGUAACUUUUGUAACCUAAUAAGCUGUUUAUAAUUUAAUAUUAAGUGACAUUUUAGGAUAAAUAUGGUUUCUAUAAUUAUUUCCAAAAAUGAAAUUAUUUAUAGUAUUACAAAAACAAAAGAAAGAAAAUAUUCUUAAAGAUGAUGACAUGAAAAUUAUUUUAAUUAUGUUCUUUAUAAUUUAAUACAAUUUCUGCAUUCAGAAUUUAUAAAACACCACUCAUAUUUAAAAUGAAAUGAAUUCAAAAUAAAAGAAAACCUCUUGAAGUUUCAUAUAUUUAAGAAGAAGGCAAUUAGUCCGCACAGCCCCUCUCUCCAGCCUGGUUGGUAUGCUUUCGGGCCCUUUAUUCUCUCCAGUGCUGUUGACAUAUUUGUUUUUGUAGCUGUCAGAUUGUCACAAUGUUUUCUUUAGAGAUGGGGGCUCCGAGGCAUCUUCUAUCUUUCAUAUCUCUGAAUACAACCCCAGGGGUGAAUUCAUGAUGAAUAUUUAAGUUUUCAGAAAGGUUGUGAGUAGCUCAUCUUCUGGGUCAUGACAACUGACAGCCUGUACAAUAUUCUAACGAGGGUGAUGACAAGAGUCUGAACUAGUCACAGUGCAGACUCAGUCUUCUGACAUCAUUUACAUAAAUCAAUGAUAUCUGAAUGAACUCAUCCCAGAAUUAUUAAAAAUAACAACUGGAUAAUGGGAUAAUAAUUGAGACCAGUCCUGUUUUAAAAUUUAUAUUUGAAUAACAACUCUCCAUGCUGUCACCGUUCACCUUUCCUCUCUGCUGGUGUUUUAGCACAGUAUCACUCAUUAUCAUUCUUUCUUAUAGAAACAGUUUUCCCUUUUCAUUAUACUAAUAAAACAAUGACUUCUUGUCGGUACGCCAAGUAAUUAAUCCUCUGCGAGUAGGCCUGCUUUAAUUUAAACAUGCUAAUCUUUUGCACUUUUCAAGUAGGAAAUGAGACAUCACCUAACAGAUAAUUAGUUUUUGCAGUUCCACUUUAUAUCCCACAAAUGAUGGGGAGAGAUUGAAUCACAUAUCAGCCAGAAAACAUCCACUCCACAGGCUUCACUGCAUGGAAAUGUCUGAAGACAGGUAGCAUAACAAUUGUUUGUCAAAGGAGAACUUAAAAUGUUUGUGCUAGAAAGUCAGAUGUAGGAAGACAUCACAGAGAAAAGAAACGACUUAAGUAGGCCUAAGUGAAGAACAAAUUGGAAACACGUUAAAAUAUUUAUUUGUCUAAUUGUGUUUUGAUUUCCCCUGGGAAGAAACUGAGAGUAAAGCCUGUUGAAGAAGGGAUUAUUUCCAAUGUAAACUUUUUUAGCAAGCUGAGCUCCAGAGCAGUUAAGACAAACCCUGAUAAUUCCAGAGAGAUGAGUUCAACCAACACAGACAGCAUUAACAAAUCCAGUCUAGAAAGUGCCCAAGGUAAGUAGAUUAUGAAUGGGUUUUAGGAGACCUGUUUGUUCAUGGCUAAAAAUCAGCCCAAUAGAAAUGAAGCAUUGAAGCUGAUAACAUUGAGAAGUAUCUUGCAAUUGUUAGGCUGGGUUAAAAGUCAAGUCCAUAUAAAAUAAAUUCUUCUAUCAAAUCUACUGUAUCAUAAACAGAAAUGGAGACAUGGAGUCUCAUUAUGCAAGUAAGGAAAAAGGACUAAUAUAAAUAAGUUAUAACUUUCCAUAUAAAUGCUACAAAAAUUGAUAUGGAAAAAAGUAAAUUAAGAAACUGGAAGUUUAAUCACAAAGGUAGUCAGCAAUAGUCUCAAAUAUCUAUGUACAAAAAAAAAUCACAAAAUGUGAGAGCAGCCCUAAUAGAGAACUCUGAAAAUACCACAAUGACUAGCAUUCACAGUGAACAUCUUUAAUAAUGAGAAUACGAAAAAAAUAGUAACAUGAUCGAAUGUAAAGGGUGAAUCUAAGAACUGUGCCUGUGAUAUACUUACCAUAAAAAUAUAGUCUUAGUCAAAAAAAUAUCAUACACCAGAAAAUUUCAACUGAGGGGUAUUCCCCCUUAAAAGAUGCAACAUUAGGAACAAAGGCAAAAUGAGCAAUGUUUCAGACCAAAGGAGUCCCAGAAAUACAAUUACAGCGAUCCACAGAUUCACACACUUUAUCCUAGAGAGUAUGUGAACAGCUAAAGUGCAUAUGUGACACCAAAAACAACCGGCCUGCUUACAUUAGGCCAAUCCCUAUAACUCUAUAUAGUAGUUAACAUAUUAGGAAGAGAAAGUAUUGAAUUAUUGUAGCAAGUGGGAAGCAGGUGAAUUUAGAUCAAGUACAAACAAUUACUCCUUGAGACAGACCAAUGAUGCAUAAGGAAACUUGCUACACCUUACUUCAGUACUUCCUUCUCUCAGAGACAUCAGAGGCAUUGCACAUAUGGAUUUAUCUUAAAUAGGUGUAAAGACUGUGAUACAGUGAUCCAAGCAUCCAUUGAAAUCCAUCUUUGAUUAUUUCCAUAGCUAUGGAAGCAAUGAUUUUGUUGUUGUUGUUUGAGACAAGGUUUCUCUGUGAAGCUUUGUAGACCAGGAUGGCCUCGAACUCACAGAUAUCUGCCUGCCUCUGCCUUCUGAGUGCUGAGAUUAAAGGCAUAUGCCACCACUGCCCAACAGAAGCAAUAAUUUAAUGAACAAAACUUUUCAAAUUUUCAGUGAUGAAGACCUCAACAGCAGAAGCUGUGGGUACCAGAUAUUGUGACUAGAGAAGCAGAUACACAUGCCAACAUGACUACUUUACCCUGCAAAUAUCCCUAUCACUUGACAGCACUACAGUAACCAUCACCUAUUCUCCAGUAUUAUGUUUCUUCUCCCUAUGUUGUUUAGCUUUUCUAAUUCUUUUGUAAAUUCUCCCAAAAAGAUACUUUGCUAAGAUGAUAGCAACUGGGCUUCUAGAAAAUGGACAGUUAGGGCUGGAGUCUGUUCAUUUGAAGUCCACAUGCACUGAACCUGUGAAGAUAAGCUUUCACAUUGCAGGGUAGAGAAACCACUCAUCCUUAUAUCAAAGAAGUUGGGGUGCUGCUAAACAAGGGGGUCUGAAAUAGUUAAUCUUGUUGCUCUGACCAAAAGAAGUCACCCGAAGAAGGAAGGCUUUCCAUAGGCUUCCUGUUUGAGAAGACACGGCCUACCACUGUGGAGAACACAUGACUGUAGAUAGUUCUACAAGACUAGGGGACAUCUGACAGGUACUUUCUCACUUUACCAGCAGAGUAGGAAUCAGAAAGAGGGUCAUGAUCAGGGUUUAGCUAUCUAAAUCAAGCUCUCUGCAACACACACCAAUAGUCUACUUCCUCUAGCAAGGCCCACUUCCCAAAGGUUUCCCAAUCUCCCACAACAUAGCCAACAUCUAGGGAAAAAAUGCUCAAACAUUUGAGCUCAUGGGGAACAAUUGUAUUCAAAUCAUACUAAGGCUUUAGGCCUUACAUAGAGUCAAGGUCUUAGAGUGUUUAAGUAUUUUCAGGUGCAGAGUAAAGGUUAUUGCAAAAUUGGGCUAAAGAUAGAGUUCAGUGGUUAAGCAAUUGCUUAGCAUGUGUGGAGACUUUGGCUCAUUCCCCAAUACUGCGCCAUAAUAACUAAGAUUUUUAAAGGUAAUGGAAAAUCACAACAAAUGAAAACAGACAUGAGGGCACAGUCACUUCAGAAAUGGAAUGUUGGUCACUCAGCUACAUCAAGAAUUCCAAUUCACUGAGUGAGGUCUUUGACUAAGAGUUAAGGGACAAUGUGGGUAGGACAGUAUCCCUGUGCCUUAUGCUCAGAAAUGAGGCUGCAUAGGACUGUGCUUUCCCUGUGCCAUAUACAUAUUCACUCCAGUGAAUUAACAGACCCUCAGACCCUACAUUUUAACUUCUAGAUUUCCUUAUAUCAUCCAUGUGAUUGGUACUUGUUAAACACAUUUGAGGGUAAAUCAGACUGCAUGUACAGCUAAUUGCAUGCAUGCUGAAAAGGAUAAUUUAUGCUUUCAAUAAAAAUUUAAAGUAUUUUCAUAAACGCUAUAGGAAUUCAUAUUCACUCAGAAAUAUGUGUCUGUCUGUCUCAAUGCUGAGCCCUACCUUUUAUCCUAAGAUUAACCCAAACUCUUCACUAAUUUCAUAAGUGAAAGGUUAAAAAAUUCUUGUGGCAUAAGCCUCUGCUUUAAUCAUUUCUAAAUUUCCUCCCAAAUAGAAAGUGUUCAGUAAAUACUUUGUUAAUUUUAAAAUAUGAAUUAAUAGCCUGGUGCAACAUUACAAUCGUUUUCAAGAGGUCUCAAAACACUGGCAAUUAUAAUGCACCUUCCUUGUGUGUUUGCAUUGGUGACUAAAUUCUGCAUCUCAUACACACCAUGAAAACAAUCAUGUUAAGCUGGGAAUUGACAUUUCAAAAAUAAAUGUAAUCAAGAGAGUGCUUUCUGAACAUAUCCACUCUGAUUUAUCAUCUUGUAAAUAUUUUUUCUCCCACUUACAUACCCAGAAUCCGUGAGAUUUCGCACAGUUUCAUAUAUUACUCUUUUUAUAAGCCUCCACUGUGUGCUACUGAAAUAUUCCACUUACAAGUCAAGGGAAUUUCAAGGCUACAGAUGAUGGCACCAAACUUCCACAAUUACCCAAGUUCGUAGGCCUGUUUCCUUUCUAAAAUGCACCUGCUGUUAGAUUUGCCAUAGCUUUAUGAAGUACUUAGAUACUAACCUGAAGUCAACAUGUUGAAUUGGGGAGAACACUUGAUGGCUUGUUUGUGUCAAGGGCAUUUGUGACUAUCAUUGCAUCAUUUUUUAUUUGGAAAAUAAAACUUCAUUCUCUCAAUAAAUGCUAGAGAAGUUGAGAAAGACAGCUGACAUUGCUCUCUGGCCUCCACAUGCAUAUGCACACAUGUGCAUGUACACACAAAUAAGAACACAUAAUGCACACACUAAAGGAAAACCUAAAGUUUGUAGUAAUCACAAUUGUUAUUUUCAUGUUUCUAAUUUUUCUAUCUUUAGGAGCUAUUAGGAAAAUGGGUAUUUUGUGAAAAAAUGCCAUUAUGCCCUAUACUAUGACCCAUUAUUAUCUCCAAGAAGCUAUAUGAUUAACAUUUUAGGGAAAUAACAUCAUAAGAAUCUGUAGUAAAUUGCCCUAGUAUCUGAUAAAAGAAUGGCUGUCCAGGAGGAGGAAGGGACAUAUUAAGUUCAGCAGCAAAAGUGAUUUGAGAAACUUAAAGGGCUCACAUGCCCAUUGUGAUUGGUAUGUCACCAUUGAUCUAGUAAGUCCCAGGGCACCACUCAUUCCAACUGAUGUAUAAUUUAAACCAUGGUUAGAAACAUGCAUGCAGAGAUAAGAAAGGAGAAGGAGAGAGGGGGAAGGGGAAACCAUUAGUCUUAUUUGUCAUAUUCUUCUUUAUGGACAAGUAAUGCUGUAUUUUUUCCUUCAUAUGUGUCUCCAGUUAGGUAUUCAAGAUCUUAACCAUAUUUUGUUUUUAUUUUAGGUUUCUCCAGUGCCAGAAAAAAUAUCUAUUCCAUUCCAUAAUCUAACCUGUAAUCACUGUGUGGUAUCCUAAUGUGGCUUCCAUUACUCAACAGCCAUAUUUCCCCUCAUCUUAAUAUAUUGUUCUUACUGGCAAGUGUUGUGGUGAACCUAAUUUGUUUGCACUUCCAUCACUUGUCUCAGAAAGUCACCUAUUCACAGGAACUCGGUUCCAGAAACUCCUUCCAUGAAAAACAGAUCAAAAUAAUUUUUGCUCUUCUGUUCUUUAUUAGUAACUGCCAUCACCAACUAAAAAACGCUCCCUUUUAAAACAUCCAUAUGCACCCCAAUCUAGAUGUUCUUUCUAGACAGAAAGCGUGUUUCUUCCCCUUAUUCUUUUGAUACACAGAAACAAGGUCAUAUGGGUUUAUAUUGAUUUAUUGAUUCCCUCCGCCCAGCAGUAGGUUUAGAUUCCAGCCAAUCCACCUAGGUUUCAUCUUCCCACAUGUGCAAAUACAGCAAAAUCCAGCACAGAGCAGACCACAACAGUGAAUUUCCAAGGUAACAAGAGUUACAAGCUAUUCUUCAGGCCUGAAAAUAUGAGAUGAGUGAGACAAAAUAUAAUAUCCAAUCAGACACAUGGGUUUGCACAGCUGUUCUCACACCAAACUGUUCACCAUGAAGCCAGGAGAAAGACAGCAAUAUCUUAUCUCAGUUCGUUGUUGAACGAUGCCUUGAAGAAGGUCCAAAGAAAGAGCUGCCUUUCCACACUUCAGCUACACUGUCCUGUUUGAAGAGAGAUGCCUCAUAGGUGAGGAGGAGAGAGCUUAAGUCCUGAGACACAUAACCAGUUGUGACAAGAUGAAAUCCAGUGCUGAACAAGACCCCAUUCACACCAACCCCAGGUCAGCACUCACAGACUGAGCCCCUAGUGUCACAUUAGAAUGCUGCCUGCCUGUCUCCACCAGCUCACUGUCCUUCAACCUUAGACUGCAGAAAGAGAGACAAGACUGUCCUACCGGGUACAAAGCAUAAAAAUUGCCUCAAGAAUUAAUCAUGAAUUCAGUACUGUGAGAUUCAACACCAGAAAAUACCCAACAGGCCACUUAGGCCAGAGCUCACAGAGGGGAGCUCUAUACCCACCCAAACAGCACACACAUGCCUGUGUACCAGUGGAAUAAACUAUCAUUAUGGCCUACA